UACGGAGGGUGCAAGCGUUAUCCGGAUUCACUGGGUUUAAAGGGUGCGUAGGUGGGCAGGUAAGUCCGUGGUGAAAUCUUAGAGCUUAACUCUAAAACUGCCAUUGAUACUGCUUAGCUUGAAUCACGUCGAGGUGGAUGGAAUAUUACAUGUAGCGGUGGAAAUGCUUAGAUAUGUAAUAGAACACCGAUUGCGAAGGCAGUUCACUAGGCGUGUAUUGACACUGAGGCUCGAAAGCGUGGGGAUCAAACAGG
rnacentral:rRNA from 1 species